rnacentral:rRNA from 1 species
UGGCGGACGGGUGAGUAAUGUCUGGGAAACUGCCUGAUGGAGGGGGAUAACUACUGGAAACGGUAGCUAAUACCGCAUAACGUCGCAAGACCAAAGAGGGGGACCUUAGGGCCUCUUGCCAUCGGAUGUGCCCAGAUGGGAUUAGCUAGUAGGUGGGGUAAGGCUCACCUAGGCGACGAUCCCUAGCUGGUCUGAGAGGAUGACCAGCCACACUGGAACUGAGACACGGUCCAG